AUUUGAGAACAGCCUGGGCAACAUAGCUAGACCUGAUGUCUACUAAGCAUUUUUUGAAACUUUCUUUUUUUUUUUUUUUUUUUUUUGGUGGGGGGAGGGGCGGGGGGCAUCUCUGCCAAGCAUCUCCUAGAUUUCCAUAAUGUUUUUCCCUCCAAGCCAAUUCCAUGAUCCUUGGCAUCUCUCAAAGGCCUGAAGAGGCCACCUGAGGUUGCC
rnacentral:lncRNA from 1 species